rnacentral:rRNA from 1 species
UACAGAGGUCCCGAGCGUUGUUCGGAUUCAUUGGGCGUAAAGGGUGCGUAGGCGGCGGGGCAAGUCUGAUGUGAAAUCCUGGGGCUCAACCCUGGAACUGCAUUGGAUACUGCCUUGCUAGAGUACUGGAGAGGAAACUGGAAUUUACGGUGUAGCAGUGAAAUGCGUAGAGAUCGUAAGGAAGACCAGUGGCGAAGGCAGGUCUCUGGGCCACUACUGACGCUGAGAAGCGAAAGCAUGGGGAGCGAACAGG